rnacentral:rRNA from 1 species
AUUGAACGCUGGCGGCAUGCCUUACACAUGCAAGUCGAACGGUAACGCGGGACAACCUGGCGACGAGUGGCGAACGGGUGAGUAAUGUAUCGGAACGUGCCCAGUUGUGGGGGAUAACACUUCGAAAGAAGUGCUAAUACCGCAUACGUCCUGAGGGAGAAAGCGGGGGAUCUUCGGACCUCGCGCGAUUGGAGUGGCCGAUGUCAGAUUAGCUAGUUGGUGGGAUAAAGGCCCACCAAGGCGACGAUCUGUAGCUGGUCUGAGAGGACGACCAGCCACACUGGAACUGAGACACGGUCCAGACUCCUACGUGAGGCAGCAGUGGGGAAUUUUGAACAAUGGGCGCAAGCCUGAUCCAGCAAUGCCGCGUGCAGGAUGAAGGCCUUCGGGUUGUAAACUGCUUUUGUACGGAACGAAACAGCCCUUUCUAAUACAAGGGGCUAAUGACGGUACCGUAAGAAUAAGCACCGGCUAACUACGUGCCAGCCGCCGCCGUAAAAC